AACGAACGCUGGCGGCGUGCUUAACACAUGCAAGUCGAGCGGGAAAGUUUCCUUCGGGAAGCGAGUACAGCGGCAGACGGGUGAGUACAACGUAGGUAACCUACCCUCGAGACCGGGAUAACCUGUCGAAAGACGGGCUAAAUACCGGAUAAGACCACAAGGGCUGCGGCCUUUGAGGUAAAAGAUGGCCUCUGCUUGCAAGCUAUCACUUGGGGGAU
rnacentral:rRNA from 1 species